rnacentral:lncRNA from 10 species
AUUAAUGACUGCUGCUGCAAACACUACACAGGCCACCUCACCAAAGACCAUCAGAGUAGACUUGUUUUUGGAAUUGGUGAUAAAAUUUGUUGUACCAGGAAUGCAUACCUCUCAGACUUACUACCUGAAAAUAUCUCUGGAAGUCAGCAAAAUAAUGAUCUAGAUGCCAGUAGUGAAGACUUUUCUGGUACGCUUCCUGAUUUUGCUAAAAAUAAGCGUGACUUUGAAAGUAACGUUCGACUGUGCAAUGGAGAGAUAUUUUUCAUAACAAAUGUAAGUGAAAACAGAAGAUAAUAUCUUUUAACUAAUUAGAGAUAUGUUUGGUUAUUUUAUUGUCCUAGGAUUCAUUCAGAAUCUAAUGAUAUCAGUUGACAUUCUUGUUUCAUGAUUUUUUGUUAAGGAUUUUUGGCAUCCAUGUUUAUGAAGGAUAUGGGUAGUUAUCUGGUAAUGUCCUGUCUGGCUUUAAUAUCAGGAUAAUACUGGCCUCAGAAAAUGAGUUGGGAAGUGCUUCUUCUUAUAUUUUCUAGAAGAUUUUAUGAAGAAACAUUUUUAAUAAAAUCGAAGUACUUGAGUAACAAAAA